GACGAACGCUGGCGGCGUGCUUAACACAUGCAAGUCGAAGGCACCCAGCAAUGGGUGACUGGCGAACGGGUGCGUAACACGUGAGCAACCUGCCGAGGUGUGGGGGAUAGCCGGCCCAACGGCCGGGUAAUACCGCAUACGUUCUUUUUGGGACAUCCCAGGAAGAGGAAACCUCCGGGGCACUUUGAGGGGCUCGCGGCCUAUCAGCUAGUUGGCGGGGUAAUGGCCCACCAAGGCGACGACGGGUAGCUGGUCUGAGAGGAUGGCCAGCCACAUUGGGACUGAGAAACGGCCCAGACUCCUACGGGAGGCAGCAGUGGGGAAUCUUGCGCAAUGGCCGAAAGGCUGACGCAGCGACGCCGCGUGUGGGAGGAAGCCCUUCGGGGUGUAAACCACUGUUGCCCGGGACGAACGGGAGGAGUUUCUCCUCCGUGACGGUACCGGGUGAGGAAGCACCGGCUAACUCCGUGCCAGCAGCCGCGGUAAUACGGAGGGUGCGAGCGUUGUCCGGAAUCACUGGGCGUAAAGGGCG
rnacentral:rRNA from 1 species